AUGCGGGGCCCAGGCGUCCGGGCCCCCCCUCCGCCCCGCCGCGAGCGCCAGCCCCGCAGCUCCAUCCCUGUGCCCGCCUGGCUGCCCCGACCCCCUUCCCUAGCUGAGCCCCUCGGCUCAUCCUGGGGCGGGGGGGGGGUGGUCCUGGCGCUGCCUCCCUGCGGAUCGGCUCGUUCCCGGGACUCUGUGCCAGCGAGGCCCCCGGAGGCCGCAGCAGAGGGCUGUGCCGCCUUCCUGGCGCCGGUGCCAAGGAGCCCUGGCCACACGCUGCCCUUCGCGGCGGGGAGCCCUCGGCGCUCCGAUCCCUCCCGGCUCUCUGUCUCCCCCCCGAGCCGCUCUCCGUCUGCCGGGCGCCGAUCCGGGGGGAUCCCGCGGCUCUUUGCAGAGGGCAAAAUCCCCCUCAAGUCCGGACCGGUGCAGCUCCGCUCCUGGGUGCCGGGGCUGAGCAUCGCGGGGCUGCUUCGGCUGUGUGCCGUGCCGUACCGCGCUGUGCCGUAUCGUGCUGUGCCGCGCUGUGCCAUGCCAUACCGUCCCAUGCCGUGCCGUGCCGCGCCACGUCCCCACAGCCAGUUCCCCCGUGCAAACGGACCAGCGGCUCCCAGGCAGCACCAGGACCCCCCUGUCCUGCGGCCGGGGCGAGAGGCCGGCAAUGCCCGUCACCCCGCAGGCUCCCACCGGCCAGGACCUCCCCGCUCGGUGCCGGCUCCUCGGCAAUUUCCCCUGCUCUGCGGCAGCGCGGAGGUGGAAGGAGGGAGGCGGAAGUGGCCAGGGUCGGGGCCGUUCCUCGUCCCUUUACGCCUCGUCCCAUUGCUCCUCGUCCCUUUGCUCCUCGUCCCCUGCGGCCCCGUCCCAUUGCACCUCGUCCAUUUUCACCUCGUCCCCCGCGGCCCCGCGGCGCUGACGCAGCAGCAUUCGCAGGACGCGGCCUUCGCACACCCCAGGCUGGCGCCGCGGCUCCGGAGCCGCGCGAGCGCCCAGAGUCAAGGCCCGGGGAAGGCCGAGGGGACGGAGGAGCGCACGCGGCCAGAUAAGCAGUUCCUGCCGGCAGCGGGAGCAAGGCCGAGGGGCCGGAUCUGGGAAGCGCCGUGCUCCGCACACGGCUGGCGCACACCACCACGCACCUUCUCCUCGAGCACGGCUCGUGGCGGGUGCCGGAGGGCCGAGGAGGCUGGGGGAGCUGAGCCCUCGGCAGCUCGGUGCAGGUGUGCCCCGGCCCCAGGGCGCGCGGCGGCAGCGGCGGCGAGGAACCCAGCGGCUCUGGCGCGGUUCCCACAAAGGCAGAACAGCUGA
rnacentral:lncRNA from 1 species